GACGAACGCUGGCGGCAUGCCUAAUACAUGCAAGUCGAGCGGACUUGAAGAGAAGCUUGCUUCUCUGAUGGUUAGCGGCGGACGGGUGAGUAACACGUAGGCAACCUGCCCUCAAGCUUGGGACAACUACCGGAAACGGUAGCUAAUACCGAAUACUUGUUUUCUUCGCCUGAAGGAAACUGGAAAGACGGAGCAAUCUGUCACUUGAGGAUGGGCCUGCGGCGCAUUAGCUAGUUGGUGAGGUAACGGCUCACCAAGGCGACGAUGCGUAGCCGACCUGAGAGGGUGAUCGGCCACACUGGGACUGAGACACGGCCCAGACGCCUACGGGAGGCAGCAGUAGGGAAUCUUCCGCAAUGGGCGAAAGCCUGACGGAGCAAUGCCGCGUAGUGAUGAAGGUUUUCGGAUCGUAAAGCUCUGUUGCCAGGGAAGAACGCUUAGGAGAGUAACUGCUCUUGAGGUGACGGUACCUGAGAAGAAAGCCCCGGCUAACUACGUGCCAGCAGCCGCAGUAAAAC
rnacentral:rRNA from 1 species